rnacentral:rRNA from 1 species
UGGCGACCGGCGCACGGGUGAGUAACACGUAUCCAACCUGCCGUCUACUCUUGGACAGCCUUCUGAAAGGAAGAUUAAUACAAGAUGGCAUCAUGAGUCCGCAUGUUCACAUGAUUAAAGGUAUUCCGGUAGACGAUGGGGAUGCGUUCCAUUAGAUAGUAGGCGGGGUAACGGCCCACCUAGUCUUCGAUGGAUAGGGGUUCUGAGAGGAAGGUCCCCCACAUUGGAACUGAGACACGGUCCAAACUCCUACGGGAGGCAGCAGUGAGGAAUAUGGGUCAAUGGGCGAGAGCCUGAACCAGCCAAGUAGCGUGAAGGAUGACUGCCCUAUGGGUUGUAAACUUCUUUUAUAAAGGAAUAAAGUCGGGUAUGCAUACCCGUUUGCAUGUACUUUAUGAAUAAGGAUCGGCUAACUCCGUGCCAGCAGCCGCGGUAAUACGGAGGAUCCGAGCGUUAUCCGGAUUUAUUGGGUUUAAAGGGAGCGUAGAUGGAUGUGUAAGUCAGUUGUGAAAGUUUGCGGCUCAACCGUAAAAUUGCAGUUGAUACUGGAUAUCUUGAGUGCAGUUGAGGCAGGCGGAAUUCGUGGUGUAGCGGUGAAAUGCUUAGAUAUCACGAAGAACUCCGAUUGCGAAGGCAGCUUGCUGGACUGUAACUGACGCUGAUGCUCGAAAGUGUGGGUAUCAAACAGGAUUAGAUCCCCUGGUAGUCCACACGGUAAACGAUGAAUACUCGCUGUUUGCGAUAUACUGCAAGCGGCCAAGCGAAAGCGUUAAGUAUUCCACCUGGGGAGUACGCCGGCAACGGUGAAACUCAAAGGAAUUGACGGGGGCCCGCACAAGCGGAGGAACAUGUGGUUUAAUUCGAUGAUACGCGAGGAACCUUACCCGGGCUUGAAUUGCAACUGAAUGAUGUGGAGACAUGUCAGCCGCAAGGCAGUUGUGAAGGUGCUGCAUGGUUGUCGUCAGCUCGUGCCGUG